UGUCAGAUAAGUAGAAGCAAGAAUGAACAAAAAUUCUAACAUUCUUAUGGGGCAGAGGAUAGGACAAAUUUUACAAGUGAGGCAAAUGAAGUAGCCAACCAUUAUCGUUAGAGAAGCUGAAGACUCCUUGAGGGCAGAUACUAGAGGCACAACAUCCAGAUGUGGGCUCCUGGAAACAAUUUGGGAGGAAGUGAACAUCUGAAAUUAAGCUGCCUGGAUACCUGAGGUCCCUGUGCAGGCUGUAGGAAUGAAUGUCAAUACUCAGAAGAUGCUGACAAAAAAGCCAAAAACCCAAGACAAGGGCACAAGGAACACUUGUCUAAGUGACCGGCCGAGGCAGUCAAAUAGAGCACAAGUCAAGACGGAGGAAUCUCAGGAGGAACUGCAAAAUGAACCUUACAUUCUACCAGAUAAACAGGAUGCUGUUAAAGAACACUACUAAAGGGUACAGCAAAAGGAUGUGGCUAAGGAUGCUUCUAAAGGAUGCUGCUAAAGGAUGAUGCUAAAGGGUGCUUCUAAAGUAUGCUGCUAGAGGAUGAUGCUAGAGGGUGCUUCUAAAGGAUGCUGCUAGAGGAUGAUGCUAGAGGGUGCUUCUAAGGUUACUAGAAUUAUGCCAAUAUGAUUGCACUGACAGCUUGGGAGGUUUACAUCAAGCAAAGACAAGACACUGAAAACAUAACCAAGAGAAAAAAAUGCAAUGCAUUUAGAUGCGUUCAGUAUGUUUAAAUUCAUGAAGUCCUGAUAUACUAUUAAAGACUCUACCUUGGCCACUUCA